AUCCCUCUGAAGAAGCCCUUCCCCUCCAUCAUCAGCAUCACAUGGCCACUGCUUUUCUUCAAAUAUGAAGGGAACUUCAUCCAGCUCCCCUGGCCCUCUAGCCCAUCAUUGACCUUCCCGCUUCUUCCACAUCGGUUCUCCAGACAGCCGAAGCAUGAUGGUUCGAGAGCCUCCUUCAGGUGAUCCACUUCCCUCAGCCACUUAUGCAGGAAGCUCCCAUCUUCCGUGUCCAGGUUGCACACGAGAAGGAACAGGUGAUCCCCAUAGCCUUGCUGAGCCUCCUCUUCCAGUGCUCCAGUGCUCCAUCCCCGAGGCCCAGGCACACCUGGCUGCAGCUCCGUCUGUGGGGCUGUGAGGAGCGCCCUCUCUCGGCCAAGUCGGAAGCGCAAGGCGGACCCCCUGGAGACCCUCAAACCUGCCCGGCCUUGAACUGGUGUUUCUGGGCGCGUGGAGGGGGCCAGCCCAGCCCAGUCCACCCCUUGGAGACUUGCUGGACCAGCAGCAAGUGUGGUGGGAGCAGAGGCCCAUUCUUUAGGAACACCAGCUGUCCGGGGUGGGGAGACAGUUUCUCUCCUGGGGGAGAGCUUGCUCUGCAGCCAGUGGUCUCCACUUCCCCUGGCAUAUUCCGAUUUCAGAAGUAAAACUGAAUGUCGUCUUCUGAAAAGUUAACUUUCCACUCUCAGUUGAUCAGAGUUAAUAGAUCAAAGUCAAUAGAUCAGAGGGGAACAGGAAGAAUGGCAUAUGUUGGUCCCAACAACAGGCUUGUUUCUGUACUUCUCCGCCUACCUCCCAAUUCCAUUUUCAGUGGCCACUGACCCAGAUCUUAUUCCAGCUUCUUUAUAUUCCCCCAUCUCCAACAUGUAGGUACAAAUGUGCACACACACACACACACACAUACACACACAUAUAUUUCACUCCUACACAGGAUCACACAAGGAAGGAGCAGUAGGAACUUAGCUAAUUCCAAGGAAAGAGAGAAGAAAUUGUGUCCCCAACAGAGGACAUCCAGAAAAUAAUAAUCCCGACAACGACAGGAUCCUCAUCACUAGAAUGAAUGCUACAUCCACACAUUUUAACAUGAAGUGAGCAUUGCAUCUCCUAGCCAGUGUUUGCAAAGGAAUGUAGGGAACUCUGGCAGAGUUGAACACCUUUCAGUGGUGGACCCAACACACACUAGAAACCCCAGUACAUUUCAGACCUCAACUAUCACCUGUUUUGACAAAUCAGAGGCACCCUGGCCCAUCCCAGACCCCUGCCAGCUCUUCAGUGCCUACGAGGUAUGAUCCCUGUAAUAGAGAGCUGGCUCCCCCUUGUGGCCAGAGAGUACCUUGGUGCUAGAUACCCAGGAACUCUCAGGGGACAAAACUUCUCUGAAGCUCACUUGAAACUUUUGGUACAAGGGUGACUGCUAAGGAGCCAAAUAGAUUUCAGUUUUAUGAGAACAGAGUAUUCAACCCUUUAAAGACAGCCAUAAGGGCCCGCUCUAUACCUGUGGGCCUCCAGCCUCUAUUUGAACUCCCUUUUCUUGUUCUACAUCUACAUUUAUGUGGCUACCUCGGGUCUUUAACCAAUGUCCCCUUCCUCAACAUCAUUCCUAUAGGGCCUUCUGAUGGUCAUCCAUUUGGUUUUUAUCCUCCACAAACACCUUUUCCUAACCCUACAAGUCAAGAUGGGUAAAGUCAGGAAAAGGCCCUGCAAAGGCUUUCAGUUUCUCUUUACCCACAGCUCUCCCAUGCACUCUGUUGGGUAAAUUCUUCUCUCCUCUUGGCCUCAUGAGCAGGGUCAGGUCAGAGAAGAUAACCAGCUUUCCAGGACUGGAGGAGGCAAAGCCAACAUGUGCAGUAGGCCUCCUCCCACAUGUGGAAUGGAUAGAGUGCAGGGUCAGAUUUCCCCAAGGCUGAAUGCAGGACUACUCCGGAAGUCCAGAAAGUUUUCCUUUUUGUGUUUUUAGUUUACUUGCCAAGUGCUUGGAUGGCGCAAAGACAGCAAGUGAAUUCACUACAUGUGCAGCUGCAUGUGACACAUGUUAUGAAAAAGGUGGACGACGACUCACCUUGGGAAACUUUAGUGGCUUGGCUAUACUCUGGCACUGUAGAGCAAAGACUAAGGUCCGAUCCCUACCCUGUAGGAACUCACAAGCAUAUAUGAGCAAUUCCAGGAUAGGGCAGAGAUCACUGAAGUGGGUUAGACUACCAGGCUAGGUACAGAGAACUGCCAGAGUUAUUCUGAGGAGAUUACAGAGUAGGCCAAGAGUCAGGGACAAUAUUGAAAGAAGAUUGGGGUGGGGUGAGGGAACAUUCCAAGAAAACCUAGGAAAGUCCGGAGACUCGCAUGGGUGUGUAGAUCGAGUAUCAGAGAGUCAGGUCGUUGUCAGUGGAACCUGAGUUUUAGGAAGAGCUAAAGAGAUUCACAGAUCUUUUUUAGAACUAUCCAGAAACAAAAGAUAAGAUGAUAAUUUUUACCACUGUAUUUUAAAAAAGCAAAUAUCUGAGGUCAGGAACAGCUGGAGAGUAAUCUAUAACACAAGGCAGUAAUUUAUCCUGAAAUGACUAAAAGAGUCUAUCCCAGAAGACUGGGUUGGAUUGUGGAAGAUUAUGGGGAAACAAUUUCCCACUACAUCAAAAGUACUUACUUUUGCUAGAUCAAAAGUAAGAGGUGAGGAGGCAAAAUAUAUCUGGACAUUGCAUAUAAUUCAUAUUUAAUAUAUUUAAAAAUUGAACUCAUGAUUAACAUAUUUUAAAUCAACUAUACCGCAAUAAAACACAACUUUUGAAAAAGAAACAAGAAUGUAAACUAUCAGAAAAAAUAAAGUCCAUCACAAGGCCAGAAGAGGUAAAGGGGGCAUGACAAGUUAAUACAAUAUAAUGCCUUGGGUAUAUCCUGGGCAGAAAAGGGGCAUUAGUGGAAAAACUGAUAAAAUUCAAAUGAAGUUUGGAGUUUAGUUAAUAGUGAAUGUACCAAAUCACAUAGUUUUUUUUAAUGUACCAAAAAAAUGAGAUGAGAUGAGAUGUUAACAUUCAAUGAAACUGGAUACAUGCUAUACAAGAACUCACUGUGCUAUCUUUGCAGCUUUUCUGUAAAUUUAAAAUUUCCAAAAUAAAGUGUUUUUUCUUUUAAGGUCAAAUUUAUUGUCAUAAAAUUAUUUGUAAUAUAGUAUUAUUCUUUUCUGUGUUGGUUAUAUGUUUUAAAUAUAGCAGUGUAUACAUGUCAGUCCCAAACUCCCACUCCAUGCCUCCUGUUCUCCCUCCCCCAGAAACCACAAGUCUGUUCUCUAUAUCUGUAAGUCUAUUUCUGUUUCAUAGAAAGUCCAUUUUAUCAUAUUUUAUUAAUAGUUGCCACAUAUAACUUGAGUAACAAGUAACAUAUUCAGAUUUUGGUUUAUUUUAUAUCCAAUAUUA
rnacentral:lncRNA from 1 species